GGCCCCUCUCUAGCCCCACUAUUUAUUAUUCAAACCUUUCAACUACUUCUAUUAAAUUAAAACAUUCUAACAAUUUAGUACAGGUGAUAGAAAAAUUUCUUGGAGCUUUACAAACAGUACCGCAAGGGAAAGAUGAAAUAAAAAUGAAAUAAUUCUUAACCACAAAAAAGUAAAGUUUACCCCUUGUACCUUUUGCAUCAUGGUUUAAUUAGUCUAACUAGGCAAAAAGAACUUUAGUCUAGCCCCCCGAACCUGGGCGAGCUACUUUAAGACAGCUUUAUGAGCCAACCCGUCUCUGUUGCAAAAGAGUGGGACGAUCUUACAGUAGCGGUGAUAUACCAAACGAGCCCAGUGAUAGCUGGUUGCUUUUUAAAAGGAUUUUAGUCCAACUUAAAGUUUCUGUUAUAUUCAAAAAUUUAUUACUUUAAGAUCAUUCAAAUAAGGUUCAGCCUAUUUGAAAAAGGAUACAACCUCAACUAUCGGGUAACCACGUCUUAGAGUGUUUAAGUAGGCUUAAAAGCAGCCAUCUUAAUCAAAAGCGUCAAAGCUUGCACACCCAAAGACAUAAUACCUUUAAUUUUCUACAACCCUUUACCUCUAAGAAGCAGCUCUAUAUCCUUAUAGAAGAUUUUAUGUUAAAACUAGUAACAAGAAGACAACUCUUCUCUUAAAUGUAAUUUUACAUCAGCAAGGACCAACCACUGAUAACUAACGUCUUUAAUCUCAAAGUACCAACCCCCUCAAGAAAACUUUACUCACUUUUUCGUUAACCUAACACAAGAACAUUUUAAGAAAGAUUUAAAGAAAAAGAAGGAACUCGGCAAACAUCAGCCUCGCCUGUUUACCAAAAACAUCGCCUCCUGAAUCCCCAUAAGAGGUCCAACCUGCCCAGUGACAAUGUUCAACGGCCGCGGUAUCCUAACCGUGCGAAGGUAGCGUAAUCACUUGUCCUUUAAAUGAGGACUAGUAUGAACGGUUUCACGAAGGCUGCACUGUCUCCUUUUUCUAAUCAGUAAAACUAAUCUUCCCGUGAAGAAGCGGGAAUUUUCCUAUAAGACGAGAAGACCCUAUGGAGCUUUAAACAAUUGAUACAUUUGCAUCUUAAACCUCACUUUUUAUUUAACCAAGCAUUUUGUUUCUAGUUUUAGGUUGGGGUGAUCACGGAGAAAAACCUAUCCUCCGUGUCGAAAGAAAUUCUAUUUCUUAGCAAAAAGCCACAUCUUUAUGCAUCAACAAAUUGACCUUAAUUGACCCAAUAAUUUGAUCAACGAACCAAGUUACCCUAGGGAUAACAGCGCAAUCCACUUCAAGAGCUCUUAUCGACAAGUGGGUUUACGACCUCGAUGUUGGAUCAGGGUAUCCGAGUGGUGCAGUCGCUACUAAAGGUUCGUUUGUUCAACGAUUAAAACCCUACGUGAUCUGAGUUCAGACCGGAGUAAUCCAGGUCAGUUUCUAUCUAUAAAGAAUUUUUUCUAGUACGAAAGGACCGAAAAAACAUGGCCAAUACUUUUCAGCAAGCCAUACAUUUUGAAUUUAUGUUUUAAACUUAAUAACCAAAAAUCUAAAACUUAAUCUUAAACAAAGAUUUC
rnacentral:rRNA from 1 species